UACAGAGGGGGCGAGCGUUGUUCGGAAUUACUGGGCGUAAAGCGCACGUAGGCGGAUUGCUAAGUCAGGGGUGAAAUCCUGGAGCUCAACUCCAGAACUGCCUUUGAUACUGGCGAUCUUGAGUCCGGGAGAGGUGAGUGGAACUGCGAGUGUAGAGGUGAAAUUCGUAGAUAUUCGCAAGAACACCAGUGGCGAAGGCGGCUCACUGGCCCGGUACUGACGCUGAGGUGCGAAAGCGUGGGGAGCAAACAGG
rnacentral:rRNA from 1 species